UCCGGUUUGUCACCGGCAGUCCCGACAGAGUCCCCGCCAGCCUUUCGGCCGCGCUGGCAACAGUCGACAAGGGUUGCGCUCGUUGCGGGACUUAACCCAACAUCUCACGACACGAGCUGACGACAGCCAUGCAGCACCUGGGUGACGGCUCUCUUUCGAGCACUCCCGCAUCUCUGCAGGAUUCCGUCCAUGUCAAGGGUAGGUAAGGUUUUUCGCGUUGCAUCGAAUUAAUCCACAUCAUCCACCGCUUGUGCGGGUCCCCGUCAAUUCCUUUGAGUUUUAAUCUUGCGACCGUACUCCCCAGGCGGUCAACUUCACGCGUUAGCUGCGUUACCAAGUCAAUUAAGACCCGACAACUAGUUGACAUCGUUUAGGGCGUGGACUAC
rnacentral:misc_RNA from 1 species